rfam:Felis catus breed Abyssinian Contig193347.1, whole genome shotgun sequence. [26-MAY-2016]
GCCUGGGUGGCUCAGUUGGUUAAGCGUCCGACUUCAGCUCAGGUCAUGAUCUCGUGGUUCGUGAGUUCGAGUCCCACAUCGGGCU